rnacentral:misc_RNA from 1 species
UAGUAAAUAGGAGAUAGUUCCAAACAACUAUUUUAAAAGGGUGAUUUCCUAUUUCCUUCAUUAUUUUUGUUUAUGACAAUGGUCUGGGGAGUAUGAUAUGCAAUAAUGAGGAACUGGAAUAAUUCAAAAUAAAGAAAUCAAUGAUCUUUUAGUGGCCACCAUGUUGUAAUUAAUAUUCACAAGUAGAAUAACAAUAGGUAGUCCAAGCAAAAGGUGCAUUUAAGGUGAUAGCUUUCUCCAUCGCCUUAACACUAUGUUUGGAUGGGAGGAAAGAAAAUAAUGGGAGGAAAAUAAAAGAAGAUAAUGAUUAGGAAGAAAAAUAACCUUUUCAUUUUAUGUUUGGAUUAGAAGGGAAAAUAUUGAGCGAAAAGUUACUUUUUUAAAUAAUAAAAUUACAAUAUUACCCUUAGAUGUUCAAAAAGAACUUAAAAAAAUAUAGGAAUAUUUUUGUAAUUUCAAACAUUUUCUUUCCCCUUUUCCCCCAAUUUGAAGAGAAAAUGGGAGUGGAAUCUAAUUUUUAUUUCCUUUCAAAAUUUUCUUUCCUUUUUCCUUUUAACUA